rnacentral:rRNA from 1 species
GAUCAUGGCUCAGGAUGAACGCUAGCUACAGGCUUAACACAUGCAAGUCGAGGGGCAGCAUGGUCUUAGCUUGCUAAGGCCGAUGGCGACCGGCGCACGGGUGAGUAACACGUAUCCAACCUGCCGUCUACUCUUGGACAGCCUUCUGAAAGGAAGAUUAAUACAAGAUGGCAUCAUGAGUCCGCAUGUUCACAUGAUUAAACGGUAUUCCGGUAGACGAUGGGGACG